rnacentral:rRNA from 1 species
GAAGGGGCGACCUGGAGCGAAUCCCCAAAAGCCGUCUCAGUUCGGAUUGCACUCUGCAACUCGGGUGCAUGAAGGCGGAAUCGCUAGUAAUCGUGGAUCAGCACGCCACGGUGAAUACGUUCCCGGGCCUUGUACACACCGCCCGUCACACCAUGGGAGUUGGUCUUACCCGACGGCGCUGCGCCAACCGCAAGGGGGCAGGCGACCACGGUAGGGUCAGCGACUGGGGUGAAGUCGUAACAAGGUAGCCGUAGGGGAACCUGCGGCUGGAUCACCUCCUUUCUAAGG